ensembl:lncRNA
AUGGCCCACCCUACUCUGCCCAGUAAUUACAUUCAGUCAAUCAAUCUGCCUGGAGACAAUCAGUCUAUCUCAAGCCUCCACGAUGACCUCAUCAGCUCUGUGUCAGCCCUUUGUUCCUUUUCCUAUAAAAGCCUUUUUACUUCAGCUGCGCAGUUGCAGCCAGCCCCAGCCUCCUUCCUCUCUGGCCUGCCCGCUAAUCCCAAUAAACCUGAACUCAGCCUUCAACUCUCGAGCUGUUAUUUGGGAUUGAGUGUCGGGCAGAGGGGCUACACGGGGUCGCACAUUUGGUGCCGAAACCCGGGAGCGAGGGUCGUCAGCCUCCCUGGCGACCCCCUCCCUCCAGCGACCUCGCCAGACCCCCUUCGAUUCGACCUCAGCACUCCGGAUAAGGCUGGAUUGAAGCUUUUCCUACCACCUCCGAGUCUGCCGACACCGUUGCCGCCCAUCUCAUCCGAGACAUCAUCCCUCGGUUCGGGCUGCCAGCCACUAUACAGUCAGACAACGGCCCAGCCUUUGUCUCCAAAGUUACUAAUGCUGUCUGUACUUCCCUAGGAAUUCAGUGGAGACUACAUGCGGCCUACCACCCCCAGUCGUCGGGUAAAGUAGAACGGGCAAACGGACUCAUCAAAGAGCAGCUUACCAAACUCUCUCUCGAACUUAAACAAUCGUGGGUCUCCUUACUACCGUUAGCCCUCACCCGAUUGCGAGCCCGCCCUCGGGGGUCCUCACAACUCAGCCCAUUCGAGCUCUUAUAUGGGCGACCUUUCCUGCUUUCCACCCCACCCCCUCCAGAAAAUUCCCCUCUAAGCACUUAUCUUCCCUACUUUACCCUUCUUAGACACUUACUUAGAGAACAUGCCAAUGCUUCCAUACCCCAGACUUCAGUAAUUCCACCAAACCAAAAGACAGUCGCCCCUGGUGACUCUGUCCUUAUUAAGACCCUCACCCCAAAACCCCUCUCACCCCGCUGGGAGGGGCCCUACACCGUCAUUUUAGCCACCCCCACGGCCAUCAAAGUUGCUCAGAUUCCCUCUUGGGUUCAUCUCUC